AGCAGCACACUGCACUGUUUACAUCACAAAACUACAGAGCAGCCGCAUGAAGCUGCACGCCUGCGAGAAAGAAAAGGAUUUCAAGGUAAAGAAGACAGACCAGAGAUGACUGAUGAUGUGGAAAUGAGAAGUCAGCUGCUGCACAAUGAGCUGAAGGCUGUGAGCUUCUUAAGUGACUCCACCACAGCUGGGGUUAACAACAACAACAACAACAACAACAACACAUCUGUGAAAAUGCAGGCUAGCUGUGAUAUCCAAGUGGAAACCAGUGAAGACACAAAUAACCAAAGUCACAAGGAUGUGGAUGAUUCAUGCCACACGUCCAAAUUGCCCCGAGGCUGGAUCAGAGAGGUUAGGCAGCGGAAAACAGGCAAGACAGCCGGGAAAAUGGAUGUCUACAUUACAAGUCCCGAAGGGCAGAGGUUCCGCUCAAGAGCAUCCCUGCAUGCUUUCCUCUUAAAAGAUGAAGAAGGGAACUUGGACAUAAACCUCUUUGAUUUCACUGCAUCCAAGGACGAUGUUGACACCACCUCCCAAGUGAAACAGAGGAGAAGAAAGAAAAGACAUGCACUUGAACAGCAAGAAACAAAAGAAAUACUGGAUCCACCUUCAAAUAAAUCUAAAAGAACCUCUUCCUCUCUCAAAAGUGAAAGUGAAGACAGUAAAUUAAAGAGUGCAGCUGUGAAGUGUUGUAAACAAGCUGCACCUUCAACCACAGAGGAUGAUGUCACAGUGAAGAAGAGCCCUCAGAGGGCGGGUCAGCUGAGAGAGAAGCUGCUCAGAUUUGCUCCUUCUAGUAACCAACAAAACACUCUCAUGGUUCACAAGGAUGGAGAUGCAGACUCGCAGCCUUCUGUCCCGACUGUGAAUGUUGAAACUGCCACCGAGAGCGAGAACGAGGGCGAGGAGGAACGAGGGGGAGACGAGACACACAUUCACAGCAAAGGUGACAACAAGUCUAAUUCUGAAGUGGAAGCUGAGGCUGACGGUCCCCAGAGUGGAGAACAGAAGGGGCUGUUAGCAGGCAUCACUGGUGGCAGCUGCACACCAGUGAGAGAUUCCCAGAAUAAGUCCAAGACCGUGGAAGACAAGCGGAAAACAAGCCCUUAUUUCAGAAGAAAAGCCCCUGAAGAUGCUCUGAGUCCACCGAGAAGGAAGGCCUUCAGGAAGUGGACCCCCCCUCGCUCUCCCUACAACCUGGUACAGGAAACCCUGUUCCACGACCCCUGGAAGCUCCUGGUGGCCACCAUCUUUCUGAAUAAGACCAGUGGCAAGAUGGCCAUCCCAGUUCUGUGGAAGUUCUUUGAUCGCUACCCAACUGCCGAGGCGACCCGCGAGGCCGACUGGAAACCGCUCUCUGAACUUAUGAAGCCACUGGGCCUCUAUGAGCUCAGAGCCAAAACGCUCAUCCGCUUCUCAGAUGAAUAUCUAAGGAAACAGUGGCGUUACCCCAUCGAGCUGCAUGGUAUUGGAAAGUACGGGAACGACUCCUACAGGAUCUUCUGUGUGGGCGAGUGGAGAGAGGUAAAACCUGAAGAUCACAUGUUGAACAAAUAUCACGAAUGGCUGUGGGAGAACCAUGAAACACUUGGAAUUUGAAACAAAGUCUGAGGAACUGCAAGCAAGAUUUUCUUUGGCGUGGACUAGAAAAUCAGUUACAUCACAUUAAAAAUGUUACCUAAAAAUAUUGGUAUUAAUGAAUUUACAAUGUUGAACCUGAAAUCCCUGUAAAAUUAUGCAAUGAUAUGAAGUUAACCUUUUAAAAAAAGUUUUACUUAAUAUAUAAUAAAAUGUUUUAAGUUGUUUAAAAGUUAAAAUGAUUCAUGAGUGCAUUAUUCAGGCUGUCUGUCUGUCUUCUGACUGGUUGUCUUGUUACCUGUCUUUAUAUGUAGAUGAGAAUCUGAGACAUCUUCUGCUUAGUUCAUUGUCACAGGCUAAUAAUCUUUCUUUGUGAGAGCACCGAUGCAUGACCGUACAUUCAACGCAGCAGCUUUCUUUUUGUCGGGGGUAACCUGAUUCCCAAGGCAACUGUUGCCACCGCAAAACACUCAGUGAAUGCACAGGCAUGUCAGUUUAAUCUCUAACUAGUGCCAGUACAGUAAUUUGCUAUAUUGACAUUUAGAUUUGUGUUAUGAUUUACCUAAAAAAAUCAGAAUCACAGCUUUUAGAAGAGAAUUAAAUCGUCCAGGAUUUGACACUUCAACAAAGACUUCUCUGGUGGGGAACAGAAGAACAGCUUGAACUCCAAAAUGAGACUACCAGCCAUCUCUAUAGCUGCCACACCAGUCUGCAUUCCUCAUGACACACUUCCUGUCCGGCCGAGUCGCUGCCUGGUGUUCACUCCCAUGAUGUUUCCCAGAAUCUCAGACUCUGCCCGCCUGUUGACCAGCAGUCAGAGUAUUCCGAGACUGAACCCUUUACAUCCACCUUUGGUCCAUAAACGCACCGUCAGUCUGGAGACGCCAGCUGUGCACCACCACAACCACCAGAGGACAGUGAUCAUGCAGAGGAGAGAGUACCA